rnacentral:rRNA from 1 species
UGGGGAAUAUUGCACAAUGGGCGCAAGCCUGAUGCAGCCAUGCCGCGUGUAUGAAGAAGGCCUUCGGGUUGUAAAGUACUUUCAGCGGGGAGGAAGGGAGUAAAGUUAAUACCUUUGCUCAUUGACGUUACCCGCAGAAGAAGCACCGGCUAACUCCGUGCCAGCAGCCGCGGUAAUACGGAGGGUGCAAGCGUUAAUCGGAAUUACUGGGCGUAAAGCGCACGCAGGCGGUUUGUUAAGUCAGAUGUGAAAUCCCCGGGCUCAACCUGGGAACUGCAUCUGAUACUGGCAAGCUUGAGUCUCGUAGAGGGGGGUAGAAUUCCAGGUGUAGCGGUGAAAUGCGUGGAGAUCUGGAGGAAUACCGGUGGCGAAGGCGGCCCCCUGGACAAAGACUGACGCUCAGGUGCGAAAGCGUGGGGAGCAAACAGG